GCUCCCAUAGCUCAAUGGAUAGAGCGCAGGCCUCCGAAGCCUGAAAUGGCUGUUCGAAUCAGCCUGGGAGCA
rnacentral:tRNA from 1 species